UUGUUAUCAUGACUCAAAAUUUUGAGAACCUUUUCCCCCUUUCUUAGUUUUGAAAGGUGGAGAGAAUAAUGGAUUAGCAUUAAUGAAGAACUCGCAAAAGGAAACUCAUUCUCACAUGGUUUGUUUUGCAUUGAAUGUUUCCAGCUAACCCAUUUUUGUUUCCAGGGUCGCCAGGCGGGAACUGCACUUUGCUACCAAAAUAAAAGUUCCUCCAGUUUUGAUUAUAACUGAUCAAAAGGCGUUGAUACCCAUAACUUUUGUCUACAGCAGCUAGCGUUUAUAUCCACAAACAAAUGCGGGAAAGGAAGCUCAAGCAACCUUCGGUAGAAACAGGGAAGCAUCUGGACAGACAAGUAACGGUCACGGUCUUCAAGCAAUGGUCAUGGAAGGGAUAAAAAGAUAAACCCGGGGCUCACUUUCACCGGGGGUUGGCGAGCUCCAACAUAGGAACUGAGUGAGUGCAAAGGGCCGAAAGGUACACUGUAAACUAACAAGGGAUGUACUUCUGUAAGAAGAGUGGGUCUGGGGAGUAAGGAAGCAAUGUGAGGAAGAGCAGGGAAGGAGCUAAAAUUGUCUUAUGGCUGACCGCAGGUCUUCGGCCUACACUUGGACUAAAGACUGGAUUCAACAUUACACGUUCCAUUUGCUUUU